rnacentral:rRNA from 1 species
CGAAGGGGGCUAGCGUUGCUCGGAAUCACUGGGCGUAAAGGGCGCGUAGGCGGCCGAUCAAGUCAGAGGUGAAAGUCCAAGGCUCAACCUUGGAAUUGCCUUUGAUACUGUUCGGCUCGAGACCGGAAGAGGUAAGUGGAACUGCGAGUGUAGAGGUGAAAUUCGUAGAUAUUCGCAAGAACACCAGUGGCGAAGGCGGCUUACUGGUCCGGUUCUGACGCUGAGGCGCGAAAGCGUGGGGAGCAAACAGGAUUAGAUACCCUGGUAGUCCACGCCGUAAACGAUGGAUGCUAGCCGUUGGCAGGCUUGCCUGUCAGUGGCGCAGCUAACGCUUUAAGCAUCCCGCCUGGGGAGUACGGUCGCAAGAUUA